rnacentral:tRNA from 1 species
GCUUUCGUGGUGUAGUGGCCAGCACGCUCGACGCGUAUUCGAGAGGUCCGUGGUUCGAGUCCCGGUGAGGGCA